rnacentral:rRNA from 1 species
GACGAACGCUGGCGGCGUGCCUAAUACAUGCAAGUUGAGCGAUGAAGAUUGGUGCUUGCACCAAUUUGAAGAGCAGCGAACGGGUGAGUAACGCGUGGGGAAUCUGCCUUUGAGCGGGGGACAACAUUUGGAAACGAAUGCUAAUACCGCAUAACAACUUUAAACAUAAGUUUUAAGUUUGAAAGAUGCAAUUGCAUCACUCAAAGAUGAUCCCGCGUUGUAUUAGCUAGUUGGUGAGGUAAAGGCUCACCAAGGCGAUGAUACGUAGCCGACCUGAGAGGGGGAUCGGCCAAAUUGGGAAUGAGAAACGGCCCAAACUCCUACGGGAGGCAGCAGUAGGGAAUCUUCGGCAAUGGACGAAAGUCUGACCGAGCAACGCCGCGGGAGUGAAGAAGGUUUUCGGAUCGUAAAACUCUGUUGGUAGAGAAGAACGUUGGCGAGAGUGGAAAGCUCAUCAAGUGACGGUAACUACACAGAAAGGGACGGCUAACUACGUG